GUAAUUUAAUAAAUUUGUAGAACUCUGCUCAUGCUUUUAGCUUGAGUUAUCUAAAGGAUUAGUUAUUUUAAGUUAUUUUAAGCGUUAAGGUUAUUUUAAGUGUUGGACUAAUUCAAGGCUUGCAUAUUCUGAGGAUACUCUUCUGUUAACAAUGAGGUAAAAAUGGCACACACUGAUCAAAGACAGUUAAAAAGUAACCAAUGAUUUAUCCAUGUUGGGAUUCAAUUCACAUAAAAAAAGAAAAAGUUGUUUACAUGCAGCCUAUCAGAAGCCAUCCGAUUCACCCAAAGCUUUACUCUGCCUCAUUUAAAGCACCAGUUGUACUAAAAAAAUAAAAGGGCAGGCAGCAGAGCUUAAAGUUCAAACCUAGAGGCACCAGCAAUUAGACUGUAGGAAAUGUAUUGUGUGAAUGUGUGUGGGCUCAGUCUCAGUCCAGACUGACUGGAUCAGAGGGGGGUUGUAGAAAUGUAACAGUGGUGCUCAGGCUCUAAUGACCCGACUUUCAGAGUUGGUGUGACAGGGCAGGAUGAGAUGCAGUGUUGGCUGCUGCUGCUGCUGUUGCUGCAAAGAUUAAAAUAGAAAUAGAAUCUCAUUUCCAUCUCCCAUCUUUUUUUUUAAGGUGAAUUCACCCUGAGGGAAGGAUAUUGUGUGGAAAUGUCAAGAAAUGGAUUCCAGGUGGCUGCCACGUGAAUUGAAUAGACAGCUGAUGGUCAUAUGCAAAUGUGAGAGGGUUAGGCAUGACAAGUAUGUAUCCAUAGAGUUAUAUCCUACAAUAGAUACUGAAUAAAAACACUUAAAGAAACAUUACUGCUUAUUGCUCCAGGUUUUAGGUUUAUGAAAUGGACUGAAAUUCAUUCUGCUACCUUACAUAAUAUUCAAAAACAAACACCAGCAAUCAGUGACAAGAUUUAUGUCUGUGACUCUUGAUCUUUAUGUCCUAAAUCAGUGCGAGUUACGCAGUUGUAGAAACAGUCCACAUAAAACAUUCACAAUAGAUAAAACUAUUGUAUGUCAGAGCUCAGUAGGAUGAAUUUCUUUUGACACAGUUCAUAACCAAGCAUGUAGAAGACAAAAAAAAAGGCAACAGACAAUCGUGCCACAGGAGGGCGCCAAAAUACACAAAUCCAAAAGUUGCUUACAGGAGCUUUAAGAAGGAAUGAUUUAUGAUUAUUAAGUGCAUGAAUUAACGUUUACCGUAACUUUAUGCAAUUAGUUAAGUUGUUUUAUUUUAUCAGCUGAGAAGCCUUCAUUCAGAUACAACCUUAAUUCACGACAUUGGCGUAGCUUCUCUGGUUAAAUAUGAAAAUAUAUUUCAGUGGAUAAUCACAUUUUUAGAUCAUUUACACAAAGAAUUAAUCAUUUAUCGCUGAAAAUUACUUUUUUUAAUUUGACGUAACUGAAAGCAGUGAAGUUAUUUUUUUUGCAUGUCAAUGUUAUCUUCAUUUUACUUGGACAUUGAUGAAAAUCAUGAUUUAAUAAUUAAUGUGGCACUUAAAACAGCUUAAUGUUAUUAAUAAUAAAUAAAUUAUAAUUAUAAUAAUAUGCGGAACAAAGGGUGCACAAUACAAAAUAUUAAAUAAAACUCACUGACAAUAAUAGUGCAAAUAAAACUACUGGACUACUUUUAAUAACAGAAACAUUAAACGUUGUGAUUUGUGUUAGAAUUGUAAACAGUCAUAGAAAUGAAAAGGCAGUGCUUUGUCCUACAAUAGACGUACUGUAUCCUGAUGUGGUCUAUAUGAACUACUGUAUGACGUUAACGUGAAUUAAAUGAAAGUGAACUGAUUGAAUUAAGUCAUACUGACUGCAUUAUCAGUCAUUGGUCAUGCAUUUGUCUUUUUAUUGAAGUGUACUGCACAUUUAGCUCAUACACUCCUGCAUAUGUCCUUUUUUUUAGUGUGCGACAGUGUUAUCCUUUUAAUGUAAUGAGAAAAUCAGCCAUCUCUCACACUCUGAAGCCACCUCUUACCUCAAAGUUAUGGUUUAAGACUUCUCUGGCGUAGCAGUGCAGCAUCUGUUUGAAUAAUUAAUGCAAAUGUCAAAAUUAUUGACUAUAUUUCAUUGCAUUAGUUUAAUUUCCAAAUCAAGACACUGAGAACUGCUUUGAAAUGUU